rnacentral:tRNA from 1 species
GGUAUAGCUCAAGUGGUAGAGUGCAUGCUCAGCAAGCAUGAGGUCCCAGGUUCAAUACCUGGUACC